ACAGUGACAGCAUGUGCGAUUUAAAAGAAAGGAAAAGAGAGACUUGAGCAUCAGAUACGGGCUGAUACGUGCGGAGGAUCUGUCUGAACAUCCGCUCACCUCUCUGCUCUGCCGCCUCCAGCAGGCUGCUGAAAAGGGACAGCAGCUAAAAUACGCUUCUUUUUUUUUUUUUUUUUUUUUUUUUAACGCUGUUCCACCUAUGCGACAAUAAUUCCCUCCCUUCAUCUUCUGCAAAAUUAAAGCAUUGACCUACCUUUGUUUCGUUCAUCUUCACAGCGGUAAGGAGAGGAUCUUUCAUAAUUCUCCACAAAGGAACAGCUGACAAGAGGAGCAUACAACUUGGCAGUUUACAGAGUUGACAAGAGCUUCUCCAGGAGCAGAAACUUAUGGUAGUCUCUCAGCACGGAGAAGGGAAUGUGUGACUGUAAAUACAGGGGCAAGAGCAGAUGGAGGAAGACAGGGAGCAGAGGAAACAAGAUGGAAGGAUUCCUCGUAUCUCUGAUGAAGUAGAGCCCUCACUAGAACACUCAAAUUCUCCAUUUCCUCUUUCAAAGGGUUGCAGAAUGGAUGAGCAAAGAUGUCCCCUCCCUCCCCCCCUCAAA